CAAAGUGUCCGCGGGGCCCCUGGAAACAUCCCCCAUGGUGUUUUUGGUGCCAGGUUCUUUCCUCCUACCCCCGGGACGCCCUUCCCCUGCCUCGGCGCCGCUCUGGCUCUCGCAUCGUGCCAACUUUGAGUUUGCAACCUUUUGAGGAAACGCUGAGGAGAAGGCGAAGAACCUCACACUGAAGAUUGCAUUCAUUAAUUUUCCAUUGUAGCGUUCAUUCGGUGAAGCAUGCAGUGUGCUGUCAGAGAAGCUGUGGAAGCAUGAACGGCUUGUCAAGGGUUGCAGUCUAAUGAAGGCAUGUGCUCUUGCUUAGCAACACAAAAGAAAAGUGAGUGACUUGC